rnacentral:misc_RNA from 1 species
GAUGAAGAACGCAGCGAAAUGCGAUAAGUAAUGUGAAUUGCAGAAUUCAGUGAAUCAUCGAAUCUUUGAACGCACAUUGCGCCCGCCAGUAUUCUGGCGGGCAUGCCUGUUCGAGCGUCAUUACAACCCUCAGGCCCCCGGGCCUGGCGUUGGGGAUCGGCGGAAGCCCCCUGCGGGCACAACGCCGUCCCCCAAAUACAGUGGCGGUCCCGCCGCAGCUUCCAUUGCGUAGUAGCUAACACCUCGCAACUGGAGAGCGGCGCGGCCACGCCGUAAAACACCCAACUUCUGAAUGUUGACCUCGAAUCAGGUAGGAAUACCCGCUGGACUUAAGCAUAUCAAUAAGCGGAGGA